CCUACGGGAGGCUGCAGUGAGGAAUAUUGGUCAAUGGACGCAAGUCUGAACCAGCCAUGCCGCGUGCAGGAAGACGGCCCUAUGAGUUGUAAACUGCUUUUGUACGGGGGUAAACGCAGAUACGCGUAUCUGUCUGAAAGUAUCUUACGAAUAAGGAUCGGCUAACUCCGUGCCAGCAGCCGCGGUAAUACGGAGGAUUCAAGCGUUAUCCGGAUUUAUUGGGUUUAAAGGGUGCGUAGGCGGUCGGAUAAGUUAGAGGUGAAAUCCCGAGGCUCAACCUCGGAAUUGCCUCUGAUACUGGUCGGCUAGAGAGUAGUUGAGGGAGGCGGAAUGUAUGGUGUAGCGGUGAAAUGCGUAGAGAUCA
rnacentral:rRNA from 1 species